CACGUAGGGCGCAAGCGUUGUCCGGAAUUAUUGGGCGUAAAGAGCUCGUAGGCGGUCUGUUACGUCUGCUGUGAAAACCCGGGGCUUAACCCUGGGCUUGCAGUGGAUACGGGCAGACUAGAGGCAGGUAGGGGAGAAUGGAAUUCCCGGUGUAGCGGUGAAAUGCGCAGAUAUCGGGAGGAACACCAGUGGCGAAGGCGACUACCUGGCCUGUUCUUGACGCUGAGGCGCGAAAGCUAGGGGAGCAAACGGG
rnacentral:rRNA from 1 species